CAGCCCCUCGAGUGGUGGGGAUGAUUAUUUGGCCUAAAGCGUCCGUAGCCGGCCGAGCAAGUCUUCCGUUAAAUCCAGCGUCUCAAGCGUUGGACUGCGGGAGAUACUACACGGCUAGAGAGUGGGAGAGGUCAGCGGUAUUCUGGGGGUAGGGGCGAAAUCCUUUGAUCCCCGGAGGACCACCAGUGGCGAAGGCUGCUGACUAGAACACGUCUGACGGUCAGGGACGAAAGCCAGGGGAGCGAACCGGAUUAGAUACCCGAGUAGUCC
rnacentral:rRNA from 1 species